UACGUAGGGCGCAAGCGUUAUCCGGAAUUAUUGGGCGUAAAGAGCGUGUAGGCGGCUUUACAGGUCCGUUGUGAAAACUCGAGGCUCAACCUCGAGACGCCGGUGGAAACCGUAAAGCUAGAGUCCGGAAGAGGAGAGUGGAAUUCCUGGUGUAGCGGUGAAAUGCGCAGAUAUCAGGAGGAACACCAAUGGCGAAGGCAGCUCGCUGGGACGUGACUGACGCUGAGACGCGAAAGCGUGGGGAGCAAACAGG
rnacentral:rRNA from 1 species